AUGAGGAAGACCAACGAUCCAGAGUUCACUGUCAGCAAGCUCCUCAGUUUCCUCUUCUCUGAGGAGAACUCGAUUUGGGAUGAGAAAUACUCAGAUGUGCAACUUGGACACGGACAACCCACUGUCCCUCUAUUGGAUCAACUCCUCACAUAACACGUACUUGACUGGAGACCAGCUGCGGAGCGAGUUAUCCACUGAGGCCUAUGUACGCUGCCUGCGUCUGGGAUGCUGCUGUGUUGAGUGUUAGUAGUACACCUUAAACUCCAUAAAAAGUCCCUCACAUAUUUCAAUUUGGCCUCAUUACAUUAUCCAUUUACUUAUAUAGUUCAAAAGGAUUGUCUUCUGUUGUGUGGGCCUGUAGUGGACUGCUGGGAAGGGCCAGUUGAGCCCAUGGACCAGGACCACCAAGAUCAAGUUUGAGGAAGUGGUGAAGGCUAUCAAUGACCAUGCCUUCGUCACAUCUGAGUGAGUCUUUUUCUGUCUGAGAAAACACACCCAAACUAACAAACAUACCCACACCUGAAGUGCUUUACAACUGAGGACUGUACAUGUUUCUAGAACAUUCCCCCUGUGUUGACUGAGCGUUGUGGUGCUGUUGUUGUCAAAUACCCUGUGGUUCUCUCCAUCGAGGAGAACUGCCACAUAGAGCACCAGAGGCAGAUGGCUCAUCUCUUCAGAGAGGUAUUCCAGGACAAGCUUUUGAUGGAGCCUGUGGAGCUGAUGGCUGAACAGUUGCCCUCCCACAUGCAGCUCAAGGACAAGAUAAUCCUCAAGGUGCGGGCCAGGCCAGAGGGUACCAUGGUGAUGGGAGGGAAUAAUGUGAAGGAUUGAGUCAUAGGGCAAAACUAUUUCCGGUGUAGUAUGUGCAGAAUGUUGCAGUAUAUUGAUCAUCACCAUGGUAUGAUGGGCUAUAAAGAUGAAAUUACCUUCAUGAUAGGCUUGUGGAGGUCACAUUCCAAACCAGAAAAAGUAAAAGGCCCAUUUAUGAUAAUGAUCCUAUACCGUCUCUUGUGUUAUUAGAUUUGUCACACAGCAGAGAAACUAACUGACAUGGCGACAUUGUGAUAACACUUCUCUGGUGCCCGUUUUAAUAUAUUUCCAAUUUGCCAAUGUGUCUAGAGUUCAGGUUGCCAUUUUCCCCAUGUAAUGCAGACACUAACCACAGCCCAGAUAUGCUUAUAAGACACAAAGAGGAUGAUUCCUGAGACAUCCCUCAGAUGCGAUCUCAGUGCUCUCCGCAUUUCUGGUAUUUUGUAUUUUUGUAUUUGUAUUUAUUAUGCAUCCCCAUUAGCAACUACUCUUCCUGGGGUCCAGCAAAAUUAAGGCAGUUUAUACAAUUUUAAAACAUUACAAUACAUUCACAGAUUUCACAACACACUGUGUGCCCUCAGGCCCUUACUCCACCACUACCACAUACCUAAGGUACUAAAUCCAUGUGUAUGUAUAGUGCGUACGUAAUCAUAUGUGUGUGUGUGUAUUAAUGGAAAGCAAAUCAGGGUUGUGUUCAAUAGGCACAAAAUGGAAGAAAAUGCAGUGAAACGACAAGGUAAUAGCAUAACUUAUACAAUAAAAAAGCAAUUAUUUUAAAAGAUGUGCUACAGUGUGUCAUGCCCUGGCCAUAGAGGCUUUUAUUCUCUAUUUUGGUUAGGCCAGGGUGUGACUAGGGUGGGCAUUCUAGUUUCUUUAUUUCUAUGUUUUGACCGGGUAUGGUUCUCAAUCAGGGACUGCUGUCUAUUGUUGUCUCUGAUUGGGAAUCAUAUUGAGGCUGCCUUUUUCCCACUGGUGUUUUGUGGGUAGUUAUUUUCUGUUUAGCUGUUUAGUUGGCUGACAGAACUGUGCGCUUUUGUUUUUCUACUUUGUUAUUUUGUUGCGAUGUUCAGUUUAAU